CCACGUGCGCGUCCGUCUGAGCCUGUGAGGAGGCUCGGCUCAGGCACUUGCACUCCGUGGCAGACCAUGGAGACUCUCAAAGUUUUCAAGAAGAAAGGAACAGCAGAAAGAGAGCUGUAGGCUAUGGCACCGUUGUUCAUAGCUCACCGCAUAGCUGUGCGCCUUCCCUUCCCUGGCAUCCUGGUAAUAGCCUCUUAUUACCAGCUCUGACCAAUACCUUGUGAGAGAAGCCAAGAGAGAGGAAGCGUUCAGAGCUGGGGGGACCACUUCCCACCAGCUCUUCUCUGGGCUGAGGCAGUGACAUGUUCCAGCAAGUGGAGCUAUGAGAUGGCCCCACCCUAACCAACCGAAGUCCCUGGAUCAGCACUGGAGCAGCACUCCUCUCGACAUGCUAAUAACAUCAGUGUAGUAGAUAAUACUAUCAAUGGAAAAAAAAGACCUGUUAUACCACUAAAAUUUGAGGGUUGCUUGUCAAUAAACAGACCAAUUGAUCCUGUU